rnacentral:rRNA from 1 species
ACUCCUACGGGAGGCAGCAGUGGGGAAUCUUGCGCAAUGGGCGGAAGCCUGACGCAGCGACGCCGCGUGAGGGAUGACGGCCUUCGGGUUGUAAACCUCUUUCGACCGGGACGAAGCGUGAGUGACGGUACCGGUAGAAGAAGCACCGGCUAACUACGUGCCAGCAGCCGCGGUAAU